AGUCAAGCUUUUGAUUUUUCGGUUUGAACUUUGGACGGAAUGCGACACAUAAAAAAAGAAAAAAGAAAAAGCAAGACAUAGGACCCAAGAUGCUUGGUUUUAACUUUUUUCAUUUUGGACGGACUUGAAUUUGAGUUUGGGUCUUUUACUCUUUUACGAAGCAAGACGCAGGACACAGUUCCUUGGUGUGACGUUUUCAGACUGAGAGGAUGGAUUGCACAGAUAGUUAUAGACUUUGCAUUGUUUUUAUUUGGCCCGUGAGCAGAGUGAGAGGACUGAGGAGAGACCGUGAGAUUAAAAACUCAAAAAUUCAAAACCCUAAUAUUUCGAAAGAGGGUCCUCAUCUCAGUGGUGCGUUGUGUUUUUUCUUCAUCUCAGAAAGAAGAUCUAACUUAUAAGGAGAUUUUACUGCCCUGACAUGAAUUGCUGGCAUGUUGUAUAUUUUUGCCUUUUGGCAUAAUGCUAUUUAUUAUUAAAUUGUUAUUUUGUUAUAUCAUAUUGCUAAUGAUAUCUUGUGUGUUUUGUAUCAUAGGUUGAUAGGGAUUGUCUUCUGGCAGGUUUUUUAUUUUUUGUGAAUUGAUCUACUAAAAAUACUUAAAGGAAGUAUGCUUAUAAGACAUGCUAUUUAAGUAGGGAUGUAAUUAUUUUUGUAAAAAAAACUUGUUGACUCGUCGAAGCUAUCCAGCUAGACAAGGUUGCUAGAAAUUUGAUUUUUUUUUUUUAAAACUUGGACAUAGGUAAUUUCAUUAUUUGAAUAGCUGACUUGAAUUGCAAAAGUAUAUGGAAUGUUGCAAACCACUGUUUUUUUACUUGAUGGAGAAAUAUGGAUAACAUGAAGUAAUUUUUUGUAGUGUUUUAUUUUUGUACUUGGUGCUCAAAGAAAUGGUUUAACAUGUUGAUAUUGCUUUCAUGUUUGUUACUCUUGGCUAUUAUUAUUAGGUUGUUUAUUACUUUUAUUUAUUGUUCUACAGGUUAUUAUUCAACUAUUAUGUUUCAUUCAUUUUUAGACCAAGUGUUUAUUAUUAGUGUUUAUCAUUUUAUCAAUAAGUUGCUUAAUCUUAGUUAAGAUUAGUGAAUUUAUUAAUGUUUAUAUAUUUUUUAUUCUCUUUAAACUAAGACAAACUUUUACACACUUAUGUAACUGUCAAAUGUAGAAUUAGCUCAUAUAUUCAAAGGUGAAGGCCAACAUAUUUACAUUGAUUUAUUUCUAAUGAGAAUGUUAGCUCCUAUAUCACAUGUGCAUAAGAAAUGGGGCUGAAAUGAAUAAGAGUUGGUGGACUUUUCAGCUUGUAAAUUUGAAUAUAUGAUUUAGAAGUUAUUAUUGUGAAUUUGUGAUUCCUUAGAAGUUGGAAUUAUUUACUUGUUUCAGUUUUUAACUAUAUUUUGGCAAGUGAUGAAUCAUUGAUUUAUUUGCAAUAAGAAUGCUGUGAAUAAACAAUGCUAUGUAAUGUGUUGCUGUGCAUCAGAGUGGCUCAAGUGAAUAAGAGUUGGAGGGUUUUUUUCUAGUAUUUAUUUAGUUUGUUUUCCUAGUUGAUGCUAUAAUUAGUGUUCUACCAUUUGAAAUUGUAAUUUAUUGUUAUACCUUAGAAGUUGGAAUUAUGUACCUAUUUGUAACUAUAUUGUGGCAAGUGAUGAAUCAUUGAUUUAUUUGCAAAAAGAUGUUGUUUAAGCAAUGCUAUGUCAUGUGCUGCUGACUGCUGCGCAUCAGAAAUGGGGCUGAUCCGGCUAAACUCAUGAAUAAGAGUUGAAGAAUAUUCUUCUACCA